rnacentral:tRNA from 1 species
UAGCUCAGUGGUAGAGCACUUGCCUCACAUGCAUGAGGUUCUGGGUUCUAUCCCCCAG